GAUGAACGCUAGCGGCAGGCCUAACACAUGCAAGUCGAGGGGUAGAAUUAGCUUGCUAAUUUGAGACCGGCGCACGGGUGCGUAACGCGUAUGCAAUCUACCUUGUACAGGGGGAUAGCCCAGAGAAAUUUGGAUUAAUACCCCAUGGUAUAAUUAAUUUGCAUGAAUUGAUUAUUAAAGUUCCAACGGUACAAGAUGAGCAUGCGUCCCAUUAGCUAGUUGGUGUGGUAACGGCAUACCAAGGCGACGAUGGGUAGGGGUCCUGAGAGGGAGAUCCCCCACACUGGUACUGAGACACGGACCAGACUCCUACGGGAGGCAGCAGUGAGGAAUAUUGGUCAAUGGUCGGAAGACUGAACCAGCCAUGCCGCGUGCAGGAAGAAGCAUCUAUGGUGUGUAAACUGCUUUUGUACGGGAAGAAACACUCCUACGUGUAGGAGCUUGACGGUACCGUAAGAAUAAGGAUCGGCUAACUCCGUGCCAGCAGCCGCGGU
rnacentral:rRNA from 1 species